AUGACGAAAAGGCGAGCUGAAGACGUGUUGUUCCACGACACGCCUGUUAAAAGAUCAUGUUUUCGUCCACUUGACAAAUUUGAUACGCAGUUAGAAAGCAUGGCUGCAGCCGGGUGCGUGAGUCCGCCAUCUCUGCUCGCUUUGUUGGGGAGACGCUGCAAAAAGAGACCGUAUUAUUUCGAAGAUCAGGAGGAACAUCAAGACACACUUAAACCGCGCAAGCUGUCAAAUAGUGAGCAUCGGGUCAGUGCGCCACAGAGUGUGCUGGUAAAGAAUUCUGGAAGUUUCCUAGAGAGUGCAUCUGCGAAUUCUGGUUGCUCAACGGUGACCUCUAAGAAACGUGCACGAGAUAACACUGUCACAAGAUACGAUGCUCCAAGGAUUGUCACACACAAAGAUGAUGAUGGCAAUGACCUAUGCACUUUCAACUCAUUCCAGUACUGGAGGGUCCCUCUACCUGAGCUGGACAUUUCACUCCUUCAGAAUGGAAACCUCUCUGGAUCAAAUGGAGUACCCCCUGCCAAAGAAUUAUCCUGUGAAGCCAUGGAGUCAUAAAUGUUAAUUCAUGAAGGAGGCGAGGAGAGGACGCAAGGAAUAGAGCAAUCCAAUUGAGAUUCUCCCAGUGUGUUUAUGGUGGAGGAAAGCAUGAGAUCUUCAAAGCCUUUGUGAAGGAAUGACUGACCCUUGGACCAAGGCCUGGUUAAAGCCUGUCUUCAACAAUGAUCAGCCAAUGAGGGAGCAAGGGAGCUGAAUGACCCAUGUGUUUAAUUACUGUAUAGGAUACCUGUGUCAAGUAUACGUAUGGACCUAUGUUAGGACCAUUUGUGUGCCUAUAUGAAUGCAGAUUCUACAAUGGUAAGUUUGGAUAAGUUGUCUUUAUAUUAUCUGUAUGGCUUCUUAUACUGAAGGCAGUUCAUUAGCAAGUUUCUAUGAGUAUUAGUGGUGCAAAAUUGUAGCCUAACUGAAAUGACUGAUUUCAAGAUAUUUAACUUUUUUAAUUCAUUUGAAAAAAGUCCUCAAAUGAUUCUAAAUCAGUCUUACUUUAUUAUAUAAUAAUACACCUGCUUCUUAUAUAAACUAAAGUCAAAUCGGUGUGAACUAAGGCUAAGUGAAUUUAUAGUGGGCAUCGCAUCUCAUAUCUAUUGUGACACAGUUGUGAUUCAAAUCUGUUCUAUUUUUGCCUUUGUCACCAUGUGUUUCUAGAAAACAAUGUUAUCUCUUCCUUGCUAUUCUUGUCAAUGUGCUGUCUAAACGUUGCAUUUAUUUGUACAGUGCACAGAGCCUGAGACGAAUUUGCUAUUUGUUUCAUUAAUCCACUGUUUAUACAGUCCUAAAAUGUGUUGCAUGUCAGCAAUCAAGUUUUCAAGAUAUUGUCACUUGCCACAUCAUAA
rnacentral:lncRNA from 1 species